GGGGCUUCCGAGGCGAUUGGGCAGUGUCAGUCUUCAGCCGCUAAGCCGAGAAGACCUGGGAAGGAGUCAGUCAGAGAGGCUUGGGCCAGAGUUCCAGGGGCUCUGGGAGUGGCUGCCAGUUACUUCAGGCCAUCUGGGUGUAUACGUGCAAGUCACAAGGGAUGCGAUGGCUUGGCUUGGGCUCAGAGGCCUGACACUGGAACGCGCAUGAAAAAACCAAACAAACAAAAAAAUUUCUUUUGGUAGCAGAAUAAAAAAACAAAAAAAAGGACUUUUUCUUCUGGACUGAACUAUAUUUAAAUCUCAAAGGAUGGACAUCUCACAACCUUCCUACAGCAAGUACUGUGAGAUGCAGCAAGAAGGCCCUCAACAGACACCAGAUGCCAGCAUCCUGAUUCUGGACUUCUAGCCUCCAGAACUGACCUGAGUUCAAAAUGUUUCUUGCCAGUUGAUCUUUGUCUUAGAAAAUUUCAGCAAAAUGUUCUGGUGGAGGAAGGUUUUUUGGUGUGGAACAACAGACAUAAACUAUGGAAAUGCACAGAAGUAAAGGCAUUUUUCAGAGAACCAAAGGUUUCGCCAUGUUGUCAUCUUUAAAAAAUAUGACAUCGAAGCCACCAGCCUUCAGAAGAUCUGGGAAAAGCACCCACAACAACUGAUCCUUUUUACCCUUAAUUCAUUGGGAAAGCAGUGUGUUAAAAAGUUUUAUAAAAUAUCUGUCAAAGUUUUCUUGUCUUCAUCUCAAUCUGGAUUACAUUAAAUACAUUGCAGAUGUGGU
rnacentral:lncRNA from 1 species